UGCUCUUUCACUUGUUAACACCUGUGGUUUUUUGCUGGGGGCCUGGUGCUGGCUGAUUCCAGGGCAAAAGUCGAAGCCCAGCUCCACAUCCUGGUGGCAAAAGGCUUCUCCAAGUGACCUCUUGGGGAUCACUUCUGGCUAUCUUCUGGAAAAUAGGAGAUUAAAAACAUGUGUGUUCCCACAAUGCUGCAUUCUGAAGAUGUUUCAUCUCCUAGUCCUGCCCCCCGUGUAAGUUAUGUAAGACUAUUGAAAUCAACAAAGAACAAUUCAUGCCUUGACUGGGAUUAUUGUUGUUGUUUUUAAGGACAGACCUAAAAUUGGAAAAGCAACUGAAAUGCAAGCAGUCCCUACAUACUGUCAAGCUCAGAGAAAAUUCACUUCUGACUUUUCUGCAGGGGAUAUAAGUGGAUAAGAAUGCUUGGCAUUUUGUGAGUCUAUUCACUCUUUAGGAUGGAAAUAAAAUGCACUUAAUUGAAUAUCCUAAAAUCUCAAGCCGUCAGAGCUGAAGCCUGGGAAGCUAUACCUGAAACGUGGGUCGAGCUAGGAGAAUGCCUCCAGAGGGCUGGAAGGAUGAGUGUGCCUGGCAUCUUGACGUUACUAUGGGGAUUGCUAUAGUAACAAUUCUGCUCGCCCUUCAUUUAUUAAGUUAUUUUGUUGUGGAACCAAAAGGUAAACCAAACAUUCAAAGAAACAACGCUUUUAAAGAGAUUUUUGCUGUUCCUGCAGCCCAGGCCAAAUGCUUCAAUGAAAGAAAAGGACAACACUGGCAGAUAAUUUAAUACAAUUGAAGGAAUGAGAUUCCUCCAGGUUUCCUCUGAGACUGGAAAAAUAACAGCUGAUCUGUGUCAUAACGCAGAGCUGAAUUUGUGAAUUUACCAGUCCUGAUACGAAACCCUCUGAGGAAACAAUGGCGUUGCCCCUCACAACCCACACCUAGCCUCUCUCUCUUUUGCCUUCACUCCACCAGAAUAUGGCUUGCCUUUUUUUUUUUUUUUUCCAUAAAGAGAAUGGGGAAAAUGAAGCUGACCAGAAAAAGAGCCUUCAUCUUGAAGGGCUUAAAGGUUUUAAAUGCAGCAUCCCACCCGCGGGGGUCUUAGCAGGUCCACAGUCCUCACUGGAAACAAUAAAACAGAACUGGGAGUGGGGGAGGGGGAGGAGGAACGCUGGGGAGGGAUCUGGAAGCAGAAUUUUCUGUCCUCUCUCCUCUCCUCGGAUCCUUUCUUCUUGGUCCCAUAGGGGUCUCUGCCGGGGUGGGAGAAUGAUUCUGGAAAAUGUGCAGAGACUCCCUGGAAAGCCAAAAUGGGGGUGAGAGAAAGCAUGUGUUCUGGGGUCUGUCCUACUCUAAUGGGAGAUUGUAGUAAAACUCCUCAUGGGGUGAGACUGUAUGAAAGAGAGAAAAUGAAAACAGAGGAGUGAGGAAAGGCAACUUAGAAAAACCAACCCGCAUUCAUAUGAGAGAAUGAAUCAUGAGAAAAAAUUCAAGCAAGUAACUGCUUAGCUUGACUCCACUUCCCCUCAUCCUAAGGGGAAGUUUCCACUGCGUUUAUGCUUGUCAUCACUAUGGUUCAAUCAACCAGUUGACUGUUCUGGUGUAAUGAAGUCAAGGCUUGGGAAUAGAGGCAGAGUCACCAAAAUACAGUAACAAUGGAGCCCAAGUUGGUCUAAAAAAGGAUUUCAGGAAACAGUAGGAGCAAGCGCUGCCCUGAGUCUUUCACCCGUGUUAAUUCAGCGAAUUCACACACCAGCCCUCAGAGGUAGCUCCUAUCAGCAUGCUCAAUUUUCACGUGGGAAAACUAAGAGAAGAUAAGUGAUUUGCCUGCAGUAAAACACUGUAAAGAGAAGAACCCGGUUUCAAACCUAAGCAGCUGAUUCCAGGGUCUGUGUUCUGAUCCAUGACCCUGUACUCUUCCUCCAAGCCAGCUCGUGAAAAACAGAGGAGACAAAUCCCAAGGUUGCUUUCUAAUAACUUGGAGGGAGAGCAGCAAGAAAGAGAACAGAGACUUGGAUAGUGACUGUGUGGACGGGCAGAAGCAGACAGUCUCCGAGGGGAUGGAAAGCGAGAACGCACUGCACCUCGGAUAAGGAAAAGCAGGCACAAGACAGCACCCUUAGGAAGCUCUAAAAGGCGAUGGGGUCCAAGCCUUUCUCCUGUCACCAAACUAAAUCCUCUGGGGUCCUCUUGUAAACCUUGUCUAUAGGAACAGAACAAGAAAUUAUUCUCUUUCUUUCCUCCUUCACAGACUGGAAAAGUCAAGUUCUAUAGAAGGAAAGAAUCAAGCAUUUGGAUUUUAAGUUGCCACCAUCGGAACGAGCAGGAACAGUCUAGAAAUCUCCUCCUGAGGUGGGGGGAUGUGCAGAAGAAAAAAUAGAAUUAUCCUGGUAAUUAUCUUGCAUCAAAUCAAACUUUACUAAACGUAAAUCUCUGCUCCGUGGGUGGGAAAGUAAGACUACAAAGGACGAUGUUCAACAGGGUUGACUGGUAAAGUUCACUGCUCAAUAAAAGACAUCAAGACACAUCUUCCAAAUGACUGGCCUUUCAAAACAAUUCGGUGACUAUUUAAAUGUUACCACGGACAUACCUACUAUAGCUUUUAAGAGAUUUCAAUGACUUUUAACAGUGACAGAGAUAAAUGUCUUAAAUGAAUCUGUAAAUUCAUUGAUAAUUUUCUAAUCAAUCCUACUUUUAUUAAAUUAUCUUUUGAAACUUUAAUUAAAAUUUUAAUUAAUGCCAUUUAUGAACCACAAUAAUGUCCUCUAAUUAUGGGAUUAUACCAAGUGAAGUCUGCUGUUCACACAACUCCUGGUUAAGAUGCCCCAAAUCACCAAGGAUACAUUAUCUUUUCUCUAUGAUGUACAUCACAUAGAAAAGUGCCCUUGUGAUUAGUGCUCUUUCUGCUUCAUAUAGUACAUUAGCAGAAUCUCAAGUGCUGACGCUAUAAUAAGUGUACGGCUCUAUAAGCCGUGCCAAGCAAAUCAGUGCCAAACGUGCCUGGCUUUCAUGGUGGCAACUUCAGAGAAGACACAAGUUAGUUAAAGGAUGCUAUUCAGAGGAAAACUUCAAAACUCACAACAUCUUGGGUCGGAAGGAACUUGAAAGACUGUCUGUUUCCAACCCUCCAUCCACCUUAGACUUUACUUGAUCUGUAACGGCAAGUCCUUUUGCUACACCAAUCUUAAUAACACGUUUUGAUUCCCGUCUGCUGGACUCUGCACCGGGGUGAAUCUGGAGACAGUUAAGCAGAAUCUACCCAUCUCUAGGUUUUCCACAGGUUGCCUGCAUUUGGCCCUUGGCUCCCCCAACAAAGCCAAACAAGACCUCUAAGACUUCAUCUCACUUCAGAAGAACAUUAAGGAUAGGGUGCAGGUUUUGUGCUGCACUCAGUCUAGGUUGGAGAGGUAGGGCAAGGAUGGCGAGACCAUCUCUAGCAUACAUUAACAGACCCCUUCUUCCAGGAUCAUGCCCCGUGAAAGCCAAUGAGUCUUCUGCUCUGUCCUUGAGAGAAAUGGAGUGGCCUCGGCCACAGCACAUUUUCUUCCCUGUGCAAAACAUUCUACCACUCCGGUACUCUGAACAGAGUUCUGAAGCUUGUUUUCUCUCUCCCUCCUUCUAUCCACCCUGCAUUACUGUGUUGCCGCUGACCACUUCACAGCAGUUAACUUUCCAUCCAGAGAAAGCUUGCCCUAAACCAGGCUGUCAUUCGUAACAAUAAUCACUGUGUCAGCCUUUGGUUAAUGAUCCUAGUAGCUAACCUUCAUUCCAUGCUAAUCAGAGCAUGAUAUUACAUCACUGAAUUUCACGGUACCCCGUGAGGUAGGUGGCACUGAUAUCCCCUUUCUACAGAUGAAGGCGUGGAGAUUCACCGAGUUUGAGACUCGUCCAAGUUCCUACCACCGGUCAGCUCUGGAGCCAGAAUUCAAAUCAGGUGUCUGAUUCCUACUGCAGUUAUUUAAGCCCAAAUGAAGCCACAUUUGAUUGCCCCAGGACAACGGCGAUGGUUACACUGAGAGCACGCGCACCUGCCCACACACCUGGCGCAAGUUCUUGGAAUUCCAGACACCCCUUAAAGCACAGGCCUAUGUCAACAAGAGUGUUCUAGAGGAGCUGAGGUUAUCUGGGAAUCUGGCUGCCAGCAUUUGUGCUCUGAUCUGCCCCGCUCCGUGCAACAACAUAGACCCGACUUUCUUGAAGCCGCCAGCAGCGCAGGGCGGCCAAGACUAACAAGUGUAGGCACUGUGCAGGGUACGGGGGUGCAUGAAUAGCACCAUUCUUUGCUGGCCAACACUGGCCCCAUUGUUUCAGGCAAUGAAUAGAGCUGUGUGGGAAAAAAAAAUUCACACACGAAGCAAAAAGCAGCAAAAUUUGUCUCUUUGUGAUGGUUUCAAGGCCGGGUGAAAAAGUCAUUCUUCACCUGGUGCUCUUUUACAUUUUCUUUCACAGACAGAAAGCCCUUUCUGGCAAGGGGAGAGGCUUUCUCUAAAAAAUUAAAAAGUUACAGGUCACAGUGCAGGUGAGAGCACCAGGAAUCGACCUCGAAGCUGAACUGCGUUCAUUCAUUCCAACGUGAGCGGGAGGGAGAGGGAUGGGGCGUCAUUUGGACUUAGCGUAGUUGAGCUGCUUUCCCACAAUCAUCUUGAUCUAUUCAGGACGGGCAGGUUUUGCCUGCAUGUUCCUCGAUGACAGAGGGAAAGCUAAGCACAGGGCAUUAACUACUGUAUACGAUCAGGCUCUCAUUUCAAGGUAAAUACUUGCCAGGCUUCUAGUUUCCUUCCAGGGUUAGAGGCUCAGUGGGUCCCAGAACCACUUCUGGGGUUGCCUUGCUGGGUUGCAGUAAUGACAACCAAGGGGUCUAUUCCUAUCUCUGUCCCGUGAGCACCGUUAGAUGAAAUCAGAGUCCCACGAACCACUACAUUAAUUUAACUUCUACAUGUGGAAGAUGGAUUCCUGUCUUAAGAUCAGGCACUAACAUAGUUCUCUACAGGCUGGUGUCUUCUCUGAGAAUCGCCUUCUCAUCCUCAAACUAUCUGUCAAAUCACCACUGCAAAUAGAUAUCCUGUGAUACAAAUAAUCCUUAAUGGAGUGUUGAAUAAAUGAUUAUUUUUUUCUA